UAGAGGUACGCUGGGAAAAAAAUAUAUGUUUAAUUACACAUUUAAAAAAAAAGUAUGUUAAACACAAGCAUACUUUUACAGAAGUUUUAGUGUGUUUAGAAAAAAACAUAUAUUUUUUUAAACAUGUACAUUAAUUUUAAUAGGCUAACAUUGCAAUUUCAACAUCAUAUCAUUGAACUUGCAUUAUAUAUUGAUUUUACAAAGUUAAUCCACAUAAAUUUGUUAGUGUUUAUAUUCAAACAACACACGUGACGGACGUGACUAAACCUCAUUGGUUCUUGGGAUUCAGUACGUCACAUUGGCUUCCUGAUUCAGUUGUUCGAUACACAACGUGCGUGAUCGUUGGUAAAUGUGGAUUAAAAGUUGAAACUAAAACUGUUAAAUUAUAUAUAGUGAUAAUCAGAGGACUUGGCUGAAACAACGCGAUUCACAUGGAUUACUUCGGCGAUGUUUUUUAUUGCUGUUGCGAUUAACUUUUUGAAAUGUGAGCAGUUUUUAAGUAUCAAGUGGAUCUGACAUCGAGGGGAAAUAUACGUUUCUUGGAUUUCAUUAAAGUACAUCGGUUUUUGUUUGAAGAUGAAUGAGAGAACAUGAGGCACAGCGGCAUUCAAAUUGACCAAUCAGAGCCGAGAAUAUCUAAUAAGUCGAAGUAGAGAUGAACAGAUGAAGAUACAGCCCGUAAAAAUACUUAUUCUUGGUGGUAAGUUUUUAGUUCUACAGUAUUUGUAUAACAUUUAGAUAACUUUUACGUUUUUCUAAUGCUAAUGUUUAAAGAGUAACUAAACCCUAAACCAACUUUUUUAGUUAAUGAUCUGUAAGAAUGAUGCUUUAUUAGUGUAAGUUUUUUGACAUUUGGAUAUAAAGUGUUUCAAUACUACAAUAUAUGUUGUAAAAACGUCUGAGUGCUGCCCUCUUCAGGUUGAACGGUGGCUACUGGCAGGGCUCGAAAUUGCGAAUAUUCAGUGUUCUCUCCAACGUUACAUAACCAAUCAAAUUUCACCAUUAAGUUCUUACGUUUAAUGAAGACCGCAGAUUGGCUAAUAUGAGCGUCAGUCAUUCCUUGUUGCCCUGCUACGUUGGUACGUGAAGCGCGAAAAUAAGACGCACCGCGAGCAUGACGAGAACAAGCCGACUACAGCCAAUGUUACUACUGUAAUUAAUGACGACGAUCCGGAUUCAAAUGCGACUCCACCACCGGAAAAUAAGACUUGACGUUAAACCUUUCAGAGAGAGUGGCUUAAAGAUUUCGAGUGUCUCCCCUAUGAAAAUGGCUCGAUGUAACUUACUUUGCUUACUGUAAAUCCUGUAAAACGGCGUUGGUGGCGGAAUCAAAACAUUUUAAGUGCCAGACCUUGCUUAAACAUGGCGAAAGUGCUAAAAACACUAGUAGUGUCAUGACAAAUGUGUUCAUUAUUAAUGGAGACACCGACCUGUCUGUCAUAGAGUGUUUGAUAGUGUAUGUGCGCAUGCGCUGGUGAAUGGACAUCCAACAAACAUCCUUGUGGUCCAUGUUGAUGUGGAACACGACAAUGUUGAUGGUAUGUUUUUAUAAAAAAAUAUAUUUUUAAAAACAUAUUUAGUAGUAAUAGCAUCCUGGUAAUGCAGUUAUCAAUACCAAUAUUAGCCUUCUAUAUUAAGCCUUCUAUAUUAAGGUCACUUUUGUAAAUGUCCCAAUUAAUCAGUGUUUUACGUGUUUGCUAGAUUUUCUAUUGUAAUCUUAAUCAUUUUACCUGUAAUCUGUAAUUGGUAAAUUAUUAUUGCUAUACUAUUUCAAAAGCAGUUGGGUAUUAAUUUAGGAAUCUAUGCAGUAAAAAAAUUAAAUAAAAGACUGGCCAUAAAUGCUGGCCAUAGGAUAUGUAAAGCCUGGUGGUUGCAUUUUAUUGUAAUAAAAUAAAUCUAUAAACAUUUAUAUUGUAGUUGUGGUGCUUUUUAAUUUUUGGAUGGAUGCGCCUACAUUUUUGCUGGUGCUCCUAACUCUUUAAAGUUGUGAGCACCAGUGCUACCAAAAAAAAGUUAAUUUUGAGCCCUGUACUGCAGUUGAAUUUUCCUAUUGGAUGUUGGACCGGACACUUUUAGACAACAUUACAAAGACAAUAAUAUAUUACUAACGUGAUUAGCCUGCUGGACGAACUGUAAAAAACAGCACAAUCUAAGCACUGCUAGUACAGGCUAGCUGAAUAUAUCUUAAUGAUUACAGAGAUAACACAUAAAACUUGCAACCUUUCUCAGUUUGCACAUCUGGACAAUUCUUCACACAUCAUAGGUUGUAAAUUUGGGUAAAUCCAGCAAACAAGUAAUUUUAGCGAUUCUGCUGUCACUCUGCUUUAAAUCUCCCGCAUCAGAAACUUAAGAGCAGCCUUGAGUCAAUUGUGGAAGUUAAGCGUGCAUAGAGUCCAUUGGCAUGACUUCUGAUUUCCUUAAAUCUCCUUAAACAGAGGUGAACUUUUCUUGUAAGCAAGACCACAAUAGACAUGUCAAUGGAAAAUGCCCUUGGUUAAAAUAAAACACAAUUAUCAAAGUAAAGAAUAUCCUGUAAUACACACAGGUUGCAUUAUAUCAGUGUCAGUGAGUUAAGCCUCCUAUAACCCUUUGUUCAAUGUAACUUGUAGAGUGCCAUGUAGCGAUGGAUCAAACGGACACUCAUGUCAAGCUUGAUGAGGACACAGUCAAAGCUUUAAAAGACCUUGUGAUUAAGUCUUCAGUGUCUGAAUGGCAAGAAGAAGUGACCCUCCAUAUAAACGUGACAUUUAAACUGCUCUGUGUUUUGGUUCAGCCAUUUGUAGGUUUAUCUCGAGUAAGUUCAAAUGCACUUCUGCAUUUGUCCAGUAACUUUUUGUUUAGAGAAUUACAUCAUUAUGAUUAUAUAAUUAUUCAAUGGUUGCAUAUUCAUAGUGUACUUUUCAUAUUGAUGUAUUAAUGUUCCACAAUUUGAUAAAAGUAGCUCAUUGCAUUUCACUGAUCUUUGUUUUAUAUUGUAAAAUCAUUUCAAUAGCAGUAAAUACAUACUUAGUUGUUUCUUUAACAUUUAAUUAGUUGUUAAUGAUGGAAGAAACCGGUUCGUAUGUAUGAAUACAGAAUAGGUAUCAUUUUAGAAUGAGUUAAAACAUGUUUUGGUGGCAAACAUGCAGGUAAAAUAGUACAUGUAUAACAUUCUAAUAGUAAACUUGACUGUAAUUCAAAUGUCACAUACAGUACAUUAGAAAUGAUUUAUUUUAUGUAUACAAAUGUGUGGGCAAUAUAUUAUUAUUUCAUUUUGUAUGCUAUAUUAUUUAUGUAAUAUUAUUAUAUCUGAAAUUAUUAAAUUACAUUUAUAAAUGUUUAAAAGGUGGGUUCAAAUGUGCUUCAAGUUGUAACUGAAUACAAUUUUAGAAAAUAGCACAGUUGAGUACACUUAGAUUGUCUUAAGUUUGUCUUAACAAGUACUAAAUACUACUUUUUAGUAUAUUAAGCACAAUUUACUGCACGAAAAUAAAGAGCUUUUGGUAGCUUAAGGUUGUGAACUUAAAGUGUAUUUUAGUGAACUUUUUCACCUGGGAAUACAUUUGGUAUAUUAUUUUAACAUACUACUAGUAUAUUUUAAAGUAGAUUCGUAAAUGUUUAAAGGUGGGUUCAAGUUGUAAUUAAAGAUAUUUUUUAAAUACAGACCUAGUAUGUUAA